GCUGCCCGCCGGGGCCGCUGCCGCCCGGGAGGGGCUGCUCGUGGUGGUGGUUUUGUGAGGUAGCCCGGGACCCACUGCUGCAGCUUUUCUGCGGCUGUUUAAGCCACAGAUUUGGUUCUAGAUGUUAUUUAGCUCCAGGUGUGGGAUGAGCACGCUUUUGGCAGAGGGCUCAGCCCCUUGCAGCCGUUUUGUAAAGCAGUUUAGGUGUCGGUAUCGCUUCCAUCAGAGCAAGUAAAGCUUGAAAAAUAAGCGUGUUUGGAAAAGGUUUCAGUAAGGUGGGCUAGGACACCUGAGUCCCAGUAUAUAUUGGCAGCUGAGCACACCACGAUAAACGCGAUGGAAGGAAGAUUGAAUAAAAAGGCAGUGUUGUGUUUUGGACUGGCCCAGGACUGCAGUAGAGUCUGACGAGGAAGCAAAGCCUCACCUUUGCACGGUCCCUGCUUUGCUGUGUGCUGCUAAAGAGUGGUAUUGAUUACUGUUGGGAAACAGAUGGGCAGUAAAAAGAUUCAACUGAGUUUGAAGACAGGAAUAGGAAAUCGCCUUCCUGGCUGAGUGGUUAGGCUCUGCUGUCUACUUUAGGAGGGCUCAGUCUGUUCUGAGACUAUUCAGGAGUUUCUUAUGGUGAUUCAUCUGGAGGACUAAGAAAGUGGAGCCAGUGGCACUAUAUUGACUCCACUGAUACUAUCCUCCUAAAUUAAAUGGUGAGAGAACAAGGCCUGCCUGUGAGAUAAAAGUCAGGACCUACUUGAUCUACCUACAAUGUUUUAAUGACAGUGAGAGCGAGCAAGUAAAAAGUUGUGUGUUUCUGUAGUAAAAGAUUGGAUGUGUUUGUUUUAAAUAUAUAUUAAAUGUAUUUCGAGGCUGUUGUGUUGUCUCUUGUAUUUGUGCUUUUGACGUGUCUCUGCUGUCUAAUUGCUCACAGGCCCUUUGUUCCUGGCUCCAGCACCGGGUGUGGAGGGACACUGGACAUGCCUUGGAUUAUGAUAGCUCUGGCACUGCCUCAGCAGUCCUGUGCCAUGCCUGGCGAUGACCAUGGGCCAUUCUCCUGAGCAGGCUGCUCUGUACUCAGCCACUGGCAGCAUAACAACGGAGCUGUUUGGUACCUGUGGAGUCCCAGUGUAAGGGUGUGUGAGCACCUUGCAUUUGGCUCAGAAAAUCUGUCCUUGCAACAGUCCAGCAAGAGGGCUGUGAAGUCCUGGGGACUUGUCAAUUCAGUUCACCAGCUGGAAAGUAUUUUGCCAGGUUAAAGCUAUGGUUUAAAGACUUGAGGUGAAAGCUGGUGAAGGGGAGUGGAAUCAUGGGUUCACCAGCAGCCUUGAGCAUUAGAGGCUCUGUUUGGAGGUUCAGAUGUCCUCAUACCUUUGCUCUGAUAUCUGUGUGUUACACUCUUUCAGGUAUCGACUUGAAAAUAAGAAUGGGGGUCUCAGUUCUUGGCUGAUAGGGGUAACCAGUGGGUAGAAGUUGGACCCAGAGUCAAGGAGUACAUUUUCAAGCAAGGAAUGGUGCUUUCUCACCACUUCCAUCCCCUGCAGAGCUGUACCCUAGAGCUGCUGCUCCCUGGGUGGCCAUGCCAGCAUCAGCAGGGCACACAUGGCCCAAACUGCUUUGCUCACUGGCAGACAAAGCAACUGAGUCUCUGGCCUGCUUACGGGAGGACUGGCAAAGUGACCAAAACAACCUUUUCUGCCCUGAAAAUAUCUUAAUUCCUGGUAGGUUAAGAAAUGAUGCUGUGCUGGUAUAGCUCAGUGUUGCUAAACCCAUCCUAUGAGGCUUUUGAAACAGAUAUCCAAGAGCAGCUGGUACUAAUCACUGCUGUUAACAACAUACUCAGCUCCUGUUUUUGUGGUUUCUAAAGACCUGUUUUUGCAAUACUUUUUUAAAGCUCUUUGAGAAAGAACAGACAAGCUUUUGACACACAGUUCUAUGUAAAAUCUCUAGUUUUGCCAAUGGCAUUUAUUUGUAGAGACCCUGCAUAUUGUAGAGGCCACUGCUUGUUCCUGGCGAUUCCCUAGAAUGGAAACUUAAACCAAUGAUUUUUGUAAUGAAUGUGCAAUAAAUCUGUGGAAAAGC